AGGUCAUCUAGUCCAACUUCCCUGCAAUUAACA
rnacentral:miRNA from 7 species